CUACGGGUCGCUCCAGUGGGGAAUAUUGCACAAUGGAGGAAACUCUGAUGCAGCAACGCCGCGUGGAGGAUGACACUUUUCGGAGCGUAAACUCCUUUUAUAUAGGAAGAAGAUGACGGUACUAUAUGAAUAAGCGCCGGCUAACUCCGUGCCAGCAGCUGCGGUAAUACGGAGGGCGCAAGCGUUACUCGGAAUCACUGGGCGUAAAGAGCGUGUAGGCGGAUUAAAAAGUCAGAAGUGAAAUCCUAUAGCUUAACUAUAGAACUGCUUCUGAAACUCUUAAUCUAGAAUAUGGGAGAGGUAGAUGGAAUUUCUGGUGUAGGGGUAAGAUCCGUAGAGAUCAGAAGGAAUACCGAUUGCGAAGGCGAUCUACUAGAACAUUACUGACGCUAAGGCGUGAAAGCGUGGGGAGCAAACAGGAUUAGAUACCCCAGUAGUC
rnacentral:rRNA from 1 species